GACGAACGCUGGCGGCGUGCCUAAUACAUGCAAGUAGAACGCUGAAGGAGGAGCUUGCUUCUCUGGAUGAGUUGCGAACGGGUGAGUAACGCGUAGGUAACCUGCCUGGUAGCGGGGGAUAACUAUUGGAAACGAUAGCUAAUACCGCAUAAUAGUAGAUGUUGCAUGACAUUUGCUUAAAAGGUGCAAUUGCAUCACUACCAGAUGGACCUGCGUUGUAUUAGCUAGUUGGUGAGGUAACGGCUCACCAAGGCAACGAUACAUAGCCGACCUGAGAGGGUGAUCGGCCACACUGGGACUGAGACACGGCCCAGACUCCUACGGGAGGCAGCAGUAGGGAAUCUUAGGCAAUGGACGGAAGUCUGACCGAGCAACGCCGCGUGAGUGAAGAAGGUUUUCGGAUCGUAAAGCUCUGUUGUAAGAGAAGAACGAGUGUGAGAGUGGAAAGUUCACACUGUGACGGUAUCUUACCAGAAAGGGACGGCUAACUACGUG
rnacentral:rRNA from 1 species